rnacentral:snRNA from 1 species
CUCCCUUUGGGGACAUCCGAUAAAAUUGGAAUGAUACAGAGAAAAUUAGCAUGACCCCUGCGCAAGGAUGACACGCACAAAUUGAGAAAUGGUCCAAUUUUUU